rnacentral:rRNA from 1 species
UACGGGGGGGGCAAGCGUUGUUCGGAAUUACUGGGCGUAAAGCGCGCGUAGGCGGCUUUGCAAGUCGGGUGUGAAAUCCCCAGGCUUAACCUGGGAACUGCAUUCGAGACUGCAUUGCUAGAGUAUGGGAGAGGGAAGUGGAAUUUCCGGUGUAGCGGUGAAAUGCGUAGAUAUCGGAAGGAACAUCAGUGGCGAAAGCGACUUCCUGGACCAAUACUGACGCUCAUGUGCGAAAGCGUGGGGAGCAAACAGG